UACGUAGGGUGCAAGCGUUGUCCGGAAUUAUUGGGCGUAAAGAGCGUGUAGGCGGCCAUACAGGUCAGCUGUGAAAACUCGAGGCUCAACCUCGAGACGUCGGUUGAAACCGUAUGGCUAGAGUCCGGAAGAGGAGAGUGGAAUUCCCGGUGUAGCGGUGAAAUGCGCAGAUAUCGGGAAGAACACCCGUGGCGAAGGCGGCUCUCUGGGACGGUACUGACGCUGAGACGCG
rnacentral:rRNA from 1 species